AAUCUCCGCUAAAACGAAACCUCCGCCAAAAUUGAGCAAAAGAAAGUGCACAACAGUUAAAAAACCAUCAUCAAGUCCCGGAGUGGCAGCCGGUUUUUCACCUUUCAACUUUCUACUUUCUACUUUUUACCUGCCUUUGAUGCAAUAAAUGGAUGAGUGGAAUCCAGUCCAAACUCCCUUGAUGAUGUGUCUUCCUUUCAAGCGGGAAACUUGUGCAUAAGAGAAAAGCUUGACA
ensembl:processed_transcript